rnacentral:rRNA from 1 species
CCCUUAGAUGUUCUGGGCCGCACACGCGCUACACUGAAGGAGGCCGCGUGUACUCCUGGAUCGAAAGAUUUGGGUAACCCGCGAAUCUCCUUCGUGCUAGGGAUUGAGGUUUGCAAUUAUCCUUCAUGAACGAGGAAUUCCCAGUAAGUGCAAGUCAUAAGCUUGCGCUGACUACGUCCCUGCCCUUUGUACACACCGCCCGUCGCUACUACCGAUUGAAUGAUUUAGUGAGGACUUCGGACUGGGACCGAUGCGGCUUUCGGGCUGCGUCGGUAUUCUGGAAAGAUGUCCAAACUGUAUCAUUUAGAGGAAGUAAAAGUCGUAACA